CCCCAGAAUGCCCCAAAAUUGCUCUUGGUUGUCCGGGUUUUCCACUUUUUGGCCAGUGAAAUGGCGACAUUGCCCUCGGUGGCCACGCGUCUAUCAUCGCUGAUCCUUCUCCUUCGAUUUCUUCGUUGUUUUUUCCGUUCGCUUCUUUCUCUCCAUCCUCAGCUUCUGCAAAUUGUCGAACGUUUUUUCUCUUCCACGCCGGUGUUGUUCUUGGUGUCCACCCUUUGCAACUUUCUCCGUGUGAUUUUUCACCUUCGUUUUUCUUCCGGAAAACUGCUCGAUUCGUGAACGGUGGAGGGGCUACAGAUUUCUGCCUUUUUCAAUUCGAUUGAAAUCCGUUUUUUGCUUGCGUAGUCUAACGUGUUCGGGUGAUUUUUGCUCAGCGUACGUGAUUUCGUUUUUUAGGUGGUUCGCAAUUGGAUUCCACAGUAAAACCCAGAAACUUAGAGUAAAAACCUUGAAACUUAAAGGCACAAUCUGCAUGUCGUUAGAAACUACUUGAGCAGCCGCGAUCUCAGAUUUUCAGUUUCUACACAAUGAGAUGAUGCGACUGUUCAAAGUGCUUUAUCAUUAAGGAUUGUUUUGUUGCAAAAAGCGAGGCCAAUUUGUUUAGGGCUUGAAGAUUUCUACAUUCACCAGGUUUAUCGUCGACUUCAGGUACUUUGUUCCACACAGUUUGGUUAUGAUUGGGUAAAAUAAGCUGAUUAUCUGCCUAUUUCAUGAGGAUAUCAAUAGGGACUAUCUACCCAAUCUUUUGUGUGUAAAUAGAUGUAAAUACACAUCAAAUAUUAUCUUUUGUAUGUAAAUUUGUAAAACAUGUGAAUAUUAGAACAAUGGCAAUAGAACUGCCAAUCCAUAUCUUUGUAAAUAGAUUUCUGUAUGUAUAUAAAUAAUAUUGCAUA